rnacentral:rRNA from 1 species
AGCUCCAAUAGCGUAUAUUAAAGUUGCUGCAGUUAAAAAGCUCGUAGUUGCAUUUCCGAGGCAAGGGAUUAGUCCGACCUUUGGUGGGUAUUUAAUCCUCUUGCCUCGUCCUUGAGUGGUGCUUCUUGGUAUUAAGUUAUCGAGGAGAUAGCCGCUCAUCGUUUACUGUGAGAAAAUUAGAGUGUUCAAAGCAGGCUUAUGCCGUUGAAUAUAUUAGCAUGGAAUAAUAAGAUAGGACCUCGGUACUAUUUUGUUGGUUUGAGAACCAAGAUAAUGAUGAAUAGGACAGUUGGGGGUAUUCGUAUUCAGUUGUCAGAGGUGAAAUUCUUAGAUUUACGGAAGACGAACUACUGCGAAAGCAUUUACCAAGGAUGUUUUCA